CUGGUUUGACCCACGCACACAGGAAAGGAGAUACGGCACAGCUGUUCCAGGCCAGACCACACAGCGGUGAUGAUGGAGAAAGCAGCUCCUCGUGUACGAUCUCACUCUGUCAAGACGGGUCACUGUACCACACAGCUCAUUCAACUGCAGAUGAUACGCUAAGUCCCGCGACAAGAACCAACAAAAGGGGGGAAAUACAACUGUAUGCUUUUCACUUAAUCAGAGGGAAGGAGGUGGACGAGUCCCCUAAUGACCCCGCACCUGACACCAGGCCUCGGAUGGUCUGUCAUAGCUGAAGCCAUUUCACUGGGAGCAGGUGGAAGACAUCACUGUUUUCCAUUGACGAUUCUGAAGUGUUCGAACGCCGUCUCACGCAGGAGAGGCCACCAAUCGCCUUCCAUCAAGGACAAAGUCACCUUCCUCUGGAGGAGAAUCCAGUCCUCGGGAGACGCUCUGUGGCUUGUGAGUCCACUGCCAGAACUAGGUCCUCUCCAGGCUGUCAAUAACGUGGUGGGAAGCAGGGAUCCUCGGUGAUGGCUGAUGGAUAUGCUCACACCUCCAAGAGACUGGCGAACUGUCCAGGAUGUGACCCCGCCUUUCGCCCUAUGUCAGCUAGGAUUGGCACCAGCGACCCCCACCAGCCUCAUGUGGAGGAUAAAGUGAUGGAAGAUGAGCGAGACUGCUGUCACACUCCUGGCUCUCUAAAUGCUCUUUUUUACAGUCAACGUCGACAGGCUGAUUAGUGACUUGUGGGCUGCAGUGUUCGUGGGUGAAAGUGGUCGAGGUGUGAGUGUCUUU